rnacentral:tRNA from 2 species
GCUGGCGUAGCUCAGUGGUAGAGCAUCUGAUUUGUAAUCAGAGGGUCGUGGGUUCAAAUCCCUCCGCCAGCU